GCCAGUGUGGCGUAGUGGUUUGAGUGUUGGACUAUGGCUCUGGAGCCCAGGGUUCAAUUCCCCCUUGGUC
rnacentral:tRNA from 1 species